rnacentral:rRNA from 1 species
AUUGAACGCUGGCGGCAUGCCUAACACAUGCAAGUCGAACGGUAACGGACCGCUGGGAUCCCUUCGGGGUGACCUUGGUGCCGACGAGUGGCGGACGGGUGAGUAAUACAUAGGAAUCUGCCCAGUAGCGGGGGACAACUCGGGGAAACUCGAGCUAAUACCGCAUAAGCCCUACGGGGGAAAGCAGGGGAUCUUCGGACCUUGCACUAUUGGAUGAGCCCAUGUCGGAUUAGCUUGUUGGUGAGGUAAAGGCUCACCAAGGCUACGAUCUGUAGCUGGUCUGAGAGGACGAUCAGCCACACUGGGACUGAGACACGGCCCAGACUCCUACGGGAGGCAGCAGUGGGGAAUAUUGGACAAUGGGGGCAACCCUGAUCCAGCAAUGCCGCGUGUGUGAAGAAGGCCUGCGGGUUGUAAAGCACUUUCAAUCGUGAAGAAAAGCUUACGGUUAAUACCCGUAAGUAUUGACGUUAACGAUACAAGAAGCACCGGCUAACUCCGUG